AGAGCGAACGCUGGCGGCAGGCUUAACACAUGCAAGUCGAGCGGGCGUAGCAAUACGUCAGCGGCAGACGGGUGAGUAAUGCGUGGGAACAUACCUUUGGUUCGGAACAACACAGGGAAACUUGUGCUAAUACCGGAUAAGCCCUUACGGGGAAAGAUUUAUCGCCGAAAGAUUGGCCCGCGUCUGAUUAGCUAGUUGGUGAGGUAACGGCUCACCAAGGCGACGAUCAGUAGCUGGUCUGAGAGGAUGAUCAGCCACAUUGGGACUGAGACACGGCCCAAACUCCUACGGGAGGCAGCAGUGGGGAAUAUUGGACAAUGGGCGCAAGCCUGAUCCAGCCAUGCCGCGUGAGUGAUGAAGGCCCUAGGGUUGUAAAGCUCUUUGUGCGGGAAGAUAAGUGACGGUACCGCAAGAAUAAGCCCCGGCUAACUUCGUGCCAGCAGCCGC
rnacentral:rRNA from 1 species